rnacentral:rRNA from 1 species
CAGUCGCCGCGGUAAUACAGAGGGUGCGAGCGUUAAUCGGAUUUACUGGGCGUAAAGCGUGCGUAGGCGGCUUCUUAAGUCGGAUGUGAAAUCCCUGAGCUUAACUUAGGAAUUGCAUUCGAUACUGGGAAGCUAGAGUAUGGGAGAGGAUGGUAGAAUUUCAGGUGUAGCGGUGAAAUGCGUAGAGAUCUGGAGGAAUACCGAUGGCGAAGGCAGCCAUCUGGCCUAAUACUGACGCUGAGGUACGAAAGCAUGGGGAGCAAACAGGAUUAGAUACCCCAGUAGUCCCUGUCUCUUAUAC